rnacentral:rRNA from 1 species
GUGAAACCGCGAAAGGCUCAUUAAAUCAGUUAUGGUUCCUUAGAUCGUACCCACAAUUACUUGGAUAACUGUGGUAAUUCUAGAGCUAAUACAUGCAAACAGAGCUCCGACCGGAGACGGAAGGAGUGCUUUUAUUAGAUCAAAACCAAUCGGUGGCGGGUUCGCCCGUUAUCGUAUAACUUGGUGACUCUGAAUAACUUUACGCUGAUCGCACGGUCAUCGCACCGGCGACGCAUCUUUCAAAUGUCUGCCUUAUCAACUGUCGAUGGUAGGUUCUGCGCCUACCAUGGUUGUAACGGGUAACGGGGAAUCAGGGUUCGAUUCCGGAGAGGGAGCCUGAGAAACGGCUACCACAUCCAAGGAAGGCAGCAGGCGCGCAAAUUACCCACUCCCGGCACGGGGAGGUAGUGACGAAAAAUAACGAUACGGGACUCAUCCGAGGCCCCGUAAUCGGAAUGAGUACACUCUAAACCCUUUAACGAGGAUCAAUUGGAGGGCAAGUCUGGUGCC